AAUAGGAGAAUGACAAAUUAGAUUUUUCAUCUUAAACUUUAGCUUUUUUUCUCCUAAAAAAAUUCAAAUCCAAUUGAAUAUGCUAAAAAUCAGGAGGAAAAAUCUUAUUUGUCAUUCUCUUAUU
rfam:Gossypium raimondii Chr13_contig_45, whole genome shotgun sequence.